GGAUUCAGCGACAUGCAAACGAAC
rnacentral:siRNA from 1 species